UUAAGCGACUAAGCGUACACGGUGGAUGCCCUGGCAGUCAGAGGCGAUGAAGGACGUGCUAAUCUGCGAAAAGCGUCGGUAAGGUGAUAUGAACCGUUAUAACCGGCGAUGUCCGAAUGGGGAAACCCAGUGUGAUUCGUUGCACUAUCGUUAACUGAAUACAUAGGUUAACGAGGCGAACCGGGGGAACUGAAACAUCUAAGUACCCCGAGGAAAAGAAAUCAACCGAGAUUCCCCCAGUAGCGGCGAGCGAACGGGGAGCAGCCCAGAGUCUGAAUCAGCUUGUGUGUUAGUGGAACGGUCUGGAAAGUCCGACGGUACAGGGUGAUAGUCCCGUACACCAAAAUGCACAGGUUGUGAACUCGAAGAGUAGGGCGGGACACGUGGUAUCCUGUCUGAAUAUGGGGGGACCAUCCUCCAAGGCUAAAUACUCCUGACUGACCGAUAGUGAACCAGUACCGUGAGGGAAAGGCGAAAAGAACCCCGGCGAGGGGAGUGAAAAAGAACCUGAAACCGUGUACGUACAAGCAGUGGGAGCACCUUCGGGUGUGACUGCGUACCUUUUGUAUAAUGGGUCAGCGACUUAUAUUCUGUAGCAAGGUUAACCGUAUAGGGGAGCCGCAGGGAAACCGAGUCUUAACUGGGCGUUAAGUUGCAGGGUAUAGACCCGAAACCCGGUGAUCUAGCCAUGGGCAGGUUGAAGGUUGGGUAACACUAACUGGAGGACCGAACCGACUAAUGUUGAAAAAUUAGCGGAUGACUUGUGGCUGGGGGUGAAAGGCCAAUCAAACCGGGAGAUAGCUGGUUCUCCCCGAAAGCUAUUUAGGUAGCGCCUCGUGAACUCAUCUUCGGGGGUAGAGCACUGUUUCGGCUAGGGGGUCAUCCCGACUUACCAACCCGAUGCAAACUACGAAUACCGAAGAAUGUUAUCACGGGAGACACACGGCGGGUGCUAACGUCCGUCGUGAAGAGGGAAACAACCCAGACCGCCAGCUAAGGUCCCAAAGUCAUGGUUAAGUGGGAAACGAUGUGGGAAGGCACAGACAGCCAGGAUGUUGGCUUAGAAGCAGCCAUCAUUUAAAGAAAGCGUAAUAGCUCACUGGUCGAGUCGGCCUGCGCGGAAGAUGUAACGGGGCUAAACCAUGCACCGAAGCUGCGGCAGCGACACUAUGUGUUGUUGGGUAGGGGAGCGUUCUGUAAGCCUGCGAAGGUGUGCUGUGAGGCAUGCUGGAGGUAUCAGAAGUGCGAAUGCUGACAUAAGUAACGAUAAAGCGGGUGAAAAGCCCGCUCGCCGGAAGACCAAGGGUUCCUGUCCAACGUUAAUCGGGGCAGGGUGAGUCGACCCCUAAGGCGAGGCCGAAAGGCGUAGUCGAUGGGAAACAGGUUAAUAUUCCUGUACUUGGUGUUACUGCGAAGGGGGGACGGAGAAGGCUAUGUUAGCCGGGCGACGGUUGUCCCGGUUUAAGCAUGUAGGCUGGUUAUCCAGGCAAAUCCGGAUAACCAAGGCUGAGGUGUGAUGACGAGGCACUACGGUGCUGAAGUAACAAAUGCCCUGCUUCCAGGAAAAGCCUCUAAGCAUCAGGUAACAUCAAAUCGUACCCCAAACCGACACAGGUGGUCAGGUAGAGAAUACCAAGGCGCUUGAGAGAACUCGGGUGAAGGAACUAGGCAAAAUGGUGCCGUAACUUCGGGAGAAGGCACGCUGGUGUGUAGGUGAAGUCCCUGCGGAUGGAGCUGAGACCAGUCGAAGAUACCAGCUGGCUGCAACUGUUUAUUAAAAACACAGCACUGUGCAAACACGAAAGUGGACGUAUACGGUGUGACGCCUGCCCGGUGCCGGAAGGUUAAUUGAUGGGGUUAUCCGUAAGGAGAAGCUCUUGAUCGAAGCCCCGGUAAACGGCGGCCGUAACUAUAACGGUCCUAAGGUAGCGAAAUUCCUUGUCGGGUAAGUUCCGACCUGCACGAAUGGCGUAAUGAUGGCCAGGCUGUCUCCACCCGAGACUCAGUGAAAUUGAACUCGCUGUGAAGAUGCAGUGUACCCGCGGCAAGACGGAAAGACCCCGUGAACCUUUACUAUAGCUUGACACUGAACAUUGAGCCUUGAUGUGUAGGAUAGGUGGGAGGCUUUGAAGCGUGGACGCCAGUCUGCGUGGAGCCAACCUUGAAAUACCACCCUUUAAUGUUUGAUGUUCUAACGUUGGCCCCUGACCGGGGUUGCGGACAGUGUCUGGUGGGUAGUUUGACUGGGGCGGUCUCCUCCCAAAGCGUAACGGAGGAGCACGAAGGUUAGCUAAUCCUGGUCNAAGUUUAAUUCUUUGAGCAUCAAACUUAAAUUGAAGAGUUUGAUCAUGGCUCAGAUUGAACGCUGGCGGCAGGCCUAACACAUGCAAGUCGAGCGGUAGCACAGAGAGCUUGCUCUCGGGUGACGAGCGGCGGACGGGUGAGUAAUGUCUGGGAAACUGCCUGAUGGAGGGGGAUAACUACUGGAAACGGUAGCUAAUACCGCAUAACGUCGCAAGACCAAAGUGGGGGACCUUCGGGCCUCAUGCCAUCAGAUGUGCCCAGAUGGGAUUAGCUAGUAGGUGGGGUAACGGCUCACCUAGGCGACGAUCCCUAGCUGGUCUGAGAGGAUGACCAGCCACACUGGAACUGAGACACGGUCCAGACUCCUACGGGAGGCAGCAGUGGGGAAUAUUGCACAAUGGGCGCAAGCCUGAUGCAGCCAUGCCGCGUGUGUGAAGAA
rnacentral:rRNA from 1 species